UCCAUUUCAUCUACUGAGUUUUUCAUUCUGGGAAACAAAGAAAAUCCAGCCAGUUUCUUCCAGUAAACUUUUGCAAAAGGUGAUGAGUACACAUCAAAAGUUAUCUUGAGUAGAAAUCUGCGAAAAUACUGAAGUUCCGGCUGACGAAACAAGAUUCCGGCAAGGAACUGGUUCAGAUCGGUGAUGAAGUUACAGCUAUACGUGGAUCUACUCGGAAUCACCACGUCUGCCCUACACGUGUUUAUUUUUUAGUUAGUCUUAUGUAAUGCAAAUGUGGUGAUGGG
rnacentral:lncRNA from 1 species